rnacentral:rRNA from 1 species
UACAGAGACCUCGAGCGUUAUCCGGAUUUAUUGGGCGUAAAGCGCAGGUAGGCGGCCAUGUUAGUCGUACGUUAAAGGCCCGGGCUUAACCCGGGAAAGGCGUUCGAAACGGCAUGGCUCGAGAAUGUGAGAGAUCGGUGGAAUUCAUGGUGUAGUAGUGAAAUGCGUUGAUAUCAUGAGGAACACCCAAGGCGAAGGCAACCGAUUGGCACAUUUCUGACGCUCAGCUGCGAAAGCGUGGGUAGCGAAUGGGG